UACAGAGGUCUCAAGCGUUGUUCGGAUUCAUUGGGCGUAAAGGGUGUGUAGGUGGCUACGUAAGUCGGGUGUGAAAUUUCGGAGCUUAACUCCGAAACUGCAUUCGAUACUGCCGUGCUUGAGGACUGGAGAGGAGACUGGAAUUUACGGUGUAGCAGUGAAAUGCGUAGAGAUCGUAAGGAAGACCAGUGGCGAAGGCGGGUCUCUGGACAGUGCCUGACACUGAGGCACGAAGGCCAGGGGAGCAAACGGG
rnacentral:rRNA from 1 species